rnacentral:rRNA from 1 species
AACGAACGCUGGCGGCGCGCCUAAUACAUGCAAGUCGAGCGAGAAGACGUAGCAAUACGUUUGUAAAGCGGCGAACGGGUGAGGAAUACAUGGGUAACCUACCCUCGAGUGGGGAAUAACUAGCCGAAAGGUUAGCUAAUACCGCGUACGCUCCUUGGACUUCGGUUCAGGGAGGAAAGCGAUACCGUGGGUAUCGCGCUCUUGGAUGGGCUCAUGUCCUAUCAGCUUGUUGGUGAGGUAACGGCUCACCAAGGCUUCGACGGGUAGCUGGUCUGAGAGGACGAUCAGCCACACUGGCACUGCGACACGGGCCAGACUCCUACGGGAGGCAGCAGUAAGGAAUAUUGCGCAAUGGGCGAAAGCCUGACGCAGCGACGCCGCGUGGGGGAUGAAGGUCUUCGGAUUGUAAACCCCUUUCGGGAGGGAAGAUGGAACGAGCAAUCGUUCGGACGGUACCUCCAGAAGCAGCCACGGCUAACUUCGUGCCAGCCGCCGCGGUAACAC